UGGAGGUGCACCUCAGUAGCGUGCUUGCCUAGCACGUGCAAAGUCCCAGGUAAAGUCUACAGCACUGGAGAAACAAAACUCUUUUUUGUUGGGGAGGCAAACUGCGUACAAGUAACUAGAAGUGAAUAAUAGGCCAGGCCGUGAUCUGGGCUAGAAGGAUGAGGGGGCCAACAGCACAUGGACUGGAGGGCGUGUUUUACACGGGAUGCUCAGGACCAGCCUCCGGUAAGGUGGUGUUUACAGAAGAAAGGGUAGAGGGAAUGGCAAGUGGGUGGCAGCGGCUGGUUGCUUUCUAGCUUUGCGCUUCGGGUCUUUCCGAGCUGAGAGGAACUUCAGCUUUUACUGUAAGGGAGAUGGGAGGCACUGCAGGGGUCUGAGGAGAGGGGGACCAGCUAAUUUAAAUUCCAGAGCAUUCGCAUUCUCAGAUGACCUCCUGAAUACUCUGCAGAACACACUGUCCCUGGGUCAGAUUUCGUGGGCGCUCACAAAGGUCAACAGCAACGUGGGACCAGACGCCAGGGGCCCUUGAGGACUGCGCAGAGGAAAUGGGAGGGUCUACUUUAAUCUGUUUCCUUCUCUUCUUAUCCCUGCUGCCGGUUGGGGUACAAGGCUGUAAUCCCAGCUACUCCGGAGGCUGAGGAAGGAGGAUUGCAAAUUCGAACCCGUGUUAAACAAAUGGCUGGGGACGCAGCUCAGCUCGGUGUUAAGAGCGCUUGCCUGGCAUAUGCUAGGCCCUGGGUUCCAUCCCCAGCUCGGAGAGGGGUAGAUCCCGUAAACUCACGGAGAUAAGCACAAAACCCUGGCCUGCCACCCCGAGAGAUACUGGCUUCGCCAGCCGCAGAUGUUCAUCCAAAGUCCAGGGUAACCUCUUGGAAGAGACGCUCAACCCCCCAGGGAUUCGGGAAAGGCAAACCUCGGUGCGGGAGAACCAGUGUUUGGCGACUCCUGGCCUCGGACACCAUGCUGCUGGCUCUGAGUGCCCUUCAAGAUGCCCCUGGCACUAAUAAAAGCCCGGCUGAGGAAGGCUCCUUCCGGGCCCUUUCCCCCAGGACAACUGGUAAACCCUCAGCAUCAGUAACCCACUACGCCGAAGACCUCACCUCUCCACCCGUCCAGAGAGGAAAUCUAUCACAGUGCAGUUUCGGGCACUGGGGAAGUCCCUGUCAGGAAGGCGACUUUCAGGAACGCCUCGAUCCCUGAACAGACAGCUCCUCCUCCCCGCCUCCGGGCUCCCGGGGAGGAACCUGGAGACCGCGCGGGCUGACCGACCCCAGGCGCGGGCGGAGGCUUCCGGGGCUGGGGGCGGUGCCACGUGCAGUGCCGGCGGCGCACGGCAGAGGGCGUAGAGGAGCUACCGCCGCCCUCCCGGAUCCCACGGCGCGGUCCGCGACGCCCGCCCUGCCGCCGCCUGGCCGAAGCCUCUCCAAGGCCAAGGCCACCCUCGGCCCCGCCCCGCCGCAACCGCCGCCCCGGAGUGUCGGUCGAAGAUCACCCUAGGCCCACGCCCUCUGCCCGCCCCGGACGCGCCACCCCUUCCUGGGCCUCCCUCCCUCCUUCCGCUCCAGGUCAGCCCCACAUUUCUCCCUGGAGCUCUGAGAGUCUUCCAGAAAAAGUUCCUGAGGAGAGCUCACUGCUGGAGGUCUUGGUCUCUCACACCCUUGGAGCUCAUCUACCCAAGUGAGGCUGAGUGCCCUCCGCCAGUGCAGAUAGACCCAGUCCGUGUUGAUGCAAAACCAGAUGAAGAAAAUGAGGCCCAGGAUGGACCUUGUUCUAUCUGGAAAAAGACAGAAAAGGGACCUUAGGACUGGAAAGGCAACUAUAGGAGCAGCACCCCCCUGGUGGCGUUGGGGACCCAAGCUUGAGGCAAAACUCACUCAAGGACAGCAGAGCAGAGGGAAUGGAGUCCUUGAGCUGCUGCAUCCAACCUCCCAAACCUGCCAUCCUACUGAACUUCUGCUAUGAGAGAAAGCAAAACAUCGGUGUUCAUCCCCAGGAUGAAGCAGGCUGCCUUGUCUGAGCCUGGGGUCUUCGCCAGAGGUGCACCUCAUCAAAGCCCCUGAGAUGCCCCUCCAGGGCCUGGUCCCUGCAGGAGAAACCAAGCUCUAAGGCAGAGGCAAAGGAGCCACACAGCUGCACCCUGCAAGCCUUCUGGAGUCCUUGUCAGCUGUGUCCCUCAUAAGUCAUUCAAGGAGACCUUGUGGGUUCCAAGCUUGGGUCAUUUAAGUGGUUGUUGUCGCAUAAACAUGGCUUUCCAAGGACA